UUUCCAAUAAAAAAUAAGCGUUAGUUUAUGUUCUGUAAAAAAACACACACAAGAAACCAGACGCAAUGACCCCAGAAGAUUAGUUAGGAUAUAUUGACGAAAAAGGAAUGAGAAAUGGUUUAAAAAAAACAAAACUCAAUGUAUGAAGACACCAAGAAUGAAUUUUAAGGUUUGCAGCCAAAUGAAGUUUGAAUGAUGACUUGGCUGUUGAUUUGACAAAAUAGAAAGCAAUGACAAAGAGCAAAGUGCCUUGUGUCCUAUACCUCUGAAUAUCCUUGACUAUAUUUGCUUUGACUUG